UUAAAACUCAAAGGAAUUGACGGGGGCCCGCACAAGCGGUGGAGCAUGUGGUUUAAUUCGAUGCAACGCGAAGAACCUUACCUAGUCUUGACAUCCUGAGACAAUCCCAGAGAUGGGAUGUUCCCUUCGGGAACUGAGAGACAGGUGGUGCAUGGUUGUCGUCAGCUCGUGUUGUGAAAUGUUGGGUUAAGUCCCGCAACGAGCGCAACCCUUUUUCUUAGUUGCCAGCGGUUAGUCGGGCAAUUUAAAGGGGAUUCCCAUUGAUAACC
rnacentral:rRNA from 1 species